CGACGCGUUCGUGAUGGAGGCGUGGAGGAAGGACCUCGGGAUCGAGGACGAGGUGAUGCUGCUGUCCGGAUCUUGUGGACACGUGUCAUUAUCUCACCCCUCUCUCUCUCGAGACCAAAGCAUCCUCUCUCUUUCUCUCGUGUCUCCGCGACGACUCGACUCCAUCAACCGGCGACUCCAUCAACCGGCGACUCCGACGAUGACCUCUCCGCGACGACUCCGACUCAGAGACUCAUUCUCGUCAACCUCACGUCUUCCUCCGCCGCGGCGUCUUCUUCGCACACAAGUUAGGUUUAUGUUUUGAGAAAAAGUAAUAAAGCUUUCACCUUUGAGAAUUUGGUUCUUGACCCUUGUGGGAGCUUGCUUAAUUGAAGUUGUUGGUGUGGUGGUUAUUGAAGUCCUUCACUUUCUUCAUUUGUUGAGUCUGAUACUCUCGGUUUGAUAAUAAUCAAUGAUCUACUGAUUUUGGGAAUAUAUCAAAACCAUUUCUUUUGCUUUGAAAUUGAUCUUUAGUAAGUAAGGAUCCUCUAGUUUUUCAAGUGGGUUCAUUUCAAGGUCUUUUGGUGUGAUGUUUGUUUCUCACUAAAAAGUCUGAUCCUUGCAUGUUGGUCUUUGUUUAUCACCAAAUCACGUGUUACAACUUCUAUUGUGCUUAGUUAUUUAUUCUCAGACAAGAUUCAGAACAGUGGUCCCAUAUUUUUGUUUGAUUGAUUUAGUUGACAUGUUUGGCUUUUUCAUAAGGUAUAAAAAGAUUUGUUUUGGAGUGUUAAAGAUCUCGUAUGAAUGCUGGAUAUGGAAAGAGUUGGUGAGCUUAAGAGGCAUAGAGACGAGAUGAUGGGUCACUUUGGUGGUUAUCUGAAUGAUUUUCAAGAGUUUGAGCCUGUGGUAAGGCCGCCAACGAUGGAAUCAAACUAUCCUUUGCUGGAGAUUGAAGAGGUUGUGGCUGCUGGUGAUGAUGAAGCUGGUUCUAGCUCGUUCCGUGGGGUUAGUCAUCCUCCAGAGAAGCCAAGCAUAGCUGAGGAGCCUGCAACAUCUCUGUCUCCGUUCUCUACGGCUCGUGCAAAAUCUCUACAGAGCCAGAGACAAGGAGUUCCAAAGAGUUUUUGUAGACACAGCCGGAAAUUCGUGCAGCUACGUACCUAGUCUAGCUCAUCCUCAUGGAUCCUCCAAGCAAGACACAACCCGCAUAAGAUAUAGGAAAAAUAGAUUCAACUAGGUGGUGUUAUGCUCAUGUUUUUUUUUUUCUUGAACUUCUCACUUUUUUACAAGAAACGCUGAACAACACUCAUCAUACAAAUAAUGAAGAGCAACCUUAUUGCAUAGAACUUUAGAGGGGUUUACCGAGCUCAGAAGUUUGCGAAGCUCACUCACUCUCUUUGUCUGAAGUUUAUCUGCUUUUCCUGUUUUCGAUUCGAAACAAAUAUGAAGCUAAAAGAAUUUGUCUGAUUCUUGUCUUCAUAUCGGUCUCUUGAAUUAUAUUUACCAUGGAAGCUGUGCUUCUAUGCUCUAGGGUUGUUCCUCGUGCGACUAUUUGGAAUCGAACCGGAAACUUUCGUUCAGUCAUUUCAACAAACACCUUAAGUGCAAUUCGCUUCCUUACAGAUUCCAAAAAGACUCCAUUACUCCUCAGCUUUGAGCUAUUAAGGGUCCUUCAAGCUUGAGAUAUGCUCCAUUCUCAGGCAGAAAAGGUUCGUGUGUUCCGCCAAGAUGCUCGAUUUCAACCCCGACUGUUUUCAAUUCCGACAACCCUUUCCUGAGCUCACUGGUUGAUAAAGUUCGUCAGCUGAAAGUUAAGCCCUUGAAUGCUGUAAAGUUAACUCUUUUACUAUCAAUUUAAACUCUAGUUCCAAAAAGGUAGUGACUUUAGUCUUCAACCCCUUCUUCUGGAUGUAUUUCAGCUGGACAUGGCUGUUUCUGGCUUUGGUUUAUCGCUCUGUCUCUCGCGGGUUACGCCAUUCACUUCACCAAGCCAACGCCUUUGAGCAGCUUGGUACAGAACUUCACUCUUCACAUGGCUUACACUUGUGCCUAAUCUUGAAGGCUGCCUUUUGUGUUCUUCUUACACUUCUUCUUUUUUCAAUGUAACAGUUAGAAAACGCCUCUAUGGUCUAAGGUUUUGUUUGGUGUCCGUGUCAUGGUUGGACAUUGGCUUGCGGCUUUUGAAGGGCCUGAGCUUCACCGUUUAUCAGGCGGUUGGGUUAAUGUAGGGAUAUGGGGUUUGAUUGUGGUUACAAUGCUUAUGCAAUACGAUUCAACGUUGUAUCUUGCUAGAUAUUCUGAAAAGGUGGUUGUUCCAACGGCUGUUGUACAGUUUGGUCCUUAUAGAUGGAUUAUGCAUCCGAUAUAUGCUUUUACGAUUCUUCUUUUCGCGACGUACUUCAACGCUCUGCGGGCGUCUUUGAGUCUGUUGUUUCUUGUAGCGGUUUGUUUGGUGUACUACGACAAGAAGGCAAAGCUGGAGGAAGACUUAUGAUGGAGAGUUUUGGGAAAAGCUAUUUGGGUUAUGUUAAUAAGGUUAGCCACAAGUUCAUUCCUUUUGUUUACUAGUGCGUUAGUGGAACUUGUGUUGUUGUGUCUAAUUAUCUGGUAUCUAUCAGUCAAAGAAGUAUGAAUGAAAGAUGAGUUGUAUUGUUCCAUUUUUAUUUAAAUGUUGGGCUUAUGAAAAUGGAUAUGCUUUUAUGCUAUUCGUGGCUCCCCUUAAUUUUCUAAAUCUCCUGAUCUUAACUGAUUCCCUGACUUCAAAAGUAUAUGAAGACAUCCAGUUAAAAUCUAAAGAUGUUUACUUUCUGAGUGUUUUCGCCUUUACACGUAAGGAAACGCACAAGGAACAAUCCAAAUCAUGAUUAGUUUGAUAAAGUGACCAUUGUUAAAUCUAAUUAUAUUCCUAAUCCCACUUGUUCCUUACUAAUCAAUCAUGAUUAGUUUAGUAAAGUUCUUUCUGCUGAUUAACCUUUGAUUAGUGGCCCUUUGCAUCCCAUUAAGCAUCUCCACCUGGAAAUGUUUCUUUAAUUACUUAUUCAUAGUACUUUUGUGAAAAAAGGUUCGAGGUUUUGUGUAUAAAAACAUUUGAGUUCUUCAGAUAUUUCACAUGAAAAAAACAAACUCUUUAGCUUUGUCCUCUAUUCCUGACAGGCUGACACUUGUGCAGUGAAGUGGGCUUGUUUUGUAUUGAUGUGAUCUCUCUCUCUCUCUCNNNNNNNNNNNNNNAUGUUUCUAGUGAUGACGAGAAUGUCGAUGUAUCCGAUUGAUGUAUUUGUUUUAUGAAUAAGAUGAGGGAGUUUGUUUUAUGAAUAAGAUAAUGUGGGGUUUGUUUUAUGAAUAAGGUAAUGUGGGAGUUUGUUUUAUGAAUAAGCAAAUGUGGGAAUUGUGGUUUGGAAUAGAAAUAAAGAUGGGGUUUGGAAUAUAUGAAAUAGAAAAUAAGGAAUAUGGGGUUUGGGGUUUGGGGUUUCGGAUUCUAGAGAUUUAAACAUAACACUCGUUAAUUCCACGUAAGCCAACGAGGAAAUAACGACGAAAUUUAAAAUAAAGAUGGAUUUUGGAAUAUAUGAAAAUAAGGAAUAUGGAGUUUGGGGUUUGGAAUAUGGGGUUUGGGGUUUCAGGUUUCGGGUUUGGGGUUUAGAGGUUUCGGGGUUUGAGGUUUGGGGUUUCAGGUUUGGGGUUUGGGGUUUGGGGUUUGGGGUUUGGGGUUUGGGGUUUGGAGGUUUUGGGGUUUGAGGUUUGGGGUUUGGGGUUUCAGGUUUGGGGUUUGGGGUUUGGGGUUUGGAGGUUUCGGAUUUUAGGGAUUUAAACAUAAUACUCGUUAAUUCCACGUAAGCACAAAUCGUCGUAAAGACCAGGUAUAAGAAAUCGUCGUAAAUUCCACGUAGGCAGAUCCAAAGGCGUGGACGUCAUCGCGUGCGUCUCCGUGAACGACGCGUUCGUGAUGGAGGCGUGGAGGAAGGACCUCGGGAUCGAGGACGAGGUGAUGCUGCUGUCCGAUGGGAACGGAGAGUUCACGGGGAAGCUCGGCGUGGAGUUGGAUUUGAGGGAUAAGCCUGUGGGGCUCGGAGUUAGGUCGAGGAGGUACGCGAUUCUGGCGGAGGAUGGUGUGGUGAAGGUGCUGAAUCUUGAGGAAGGAGGCGCUUUCACUAACAGUGGUGCUGAGGAUAUGCUUAAAGCUCUUUGAUUCCGUUUUGUCUUAAGACUUUUGUUCUCUUUGUGUUGAAUUUUCUUCUGUCUUUUAAUUUUCUUGAAGCUUUCAGAUUCUGUGUAUCAUCGGAUCUGUAAUGGAAUAAAACAUCGGAGUCGUUUUUGUUUGUCGGAAUAUGUCUGUUUCGAAUUGUUGACUACUUUGGGUUACUCUUUUUAUGAGUGUUUGACAUUUUGUUAAUUGAUUGAGAAGUGCCAUUUCAGUCAGAUACCGAGAUUCCCACUACGUCUUUUGUAUACACCAAAACUUUGCGUGACUUUCUCUGAACAUGUACAGUUCAGCUUGUUUUAUGCAAACACCUAGGGCCUGUGCACAUUAGAGAGACCCAAAAGUCAUUGACUUUCGGAAAUGACGUUAGGUUGUUGGUAGCCGAUACAUACUUGGUAUAAUUGCUUCCUUAGAAAUCAGCGAUGCAUAUCUCAUAUUCAUUUCUUUAAAUCAGAUGCAUCAUCAUAUUCUGAAUCGAAAUUCUCAAUUCUAAUUAUAAUCAAACUAGUAAUCAAUAGAGAGCAUACAAAACUCUUAAAAAACAUUAUAACGUAUCAACAAUACACAUUCCCCCAUAUAGUAAUUUGAGAGGAUACAGAAAUAAAAGUAAACACAAUCGCUUGUGUUUACUUUGCAACCAAAGUUUCACUACAAAAUCACCUGCUAGCUCUGUGUAUGUUAGGUAUCGUGAUGCACGUAAAAUCGCAUGGUAGGGGUUAAGAGCACCGUUAUCGCAGGCUCUUAAGGCCCGUAUUUAGUGUUUUCAGAUUAAAAAAAAAAAUUUGGCUAAUCAGAGAGGAGACGUCGCUUAAUUAAGGCACACAAGAGACGGGAUCUUGUGGACACGUGUCAUUAUCUCACCCCUCUCUCUCUCGAGACCAAAGCAUCCUCUCUCUUUCUCUCGUGUCUCCGCGACGACUCGACUCCAUCAACCGGCGACUCCAUCAACCGGCGACUCCGACGAUGACCUCUCCGCGACGACUCCGACUCAGAGACUCAUUCUCGUCAACCUCACGUCUUCCUCCGCCGCGGCGUCUUCUUCGCACACAAGUUAGGUUUAUGUUUUGAGAAAAAGUAAUAAAGCUUUCACCUUUGAGAAUUUGGUUCUUGACCCUUGUGGGAGCUUGCUUAAUUGAAGUUGUUGGUGUGGUGGUUAUUGAAGUCCUUCACUUUCUUCAUUUGUUGAGUCUGAUACUCUCGGUUUGAUAAUAAUCAAUGAUCUACUGAUUUUGGGAAUUUAUCAAAACCAUUUCUUUUGCUUUGAAAUUGAUCUUUAGUAAGUAAGGAUCCUCUAGUUUUCCAAGUGGGUUCAUUUCAAGGUCUUUUGGUGUGAUGUUUGUUUCUCACUAAAAAGUCUGAUCCUUGCAUGUUGGUCUUUGUUUAUCACCAAAUCACGUGUUACAACUUCUAUUGUGUUCUAUUGUGCUUAGUUAUUUAUUCUCAGACAAGAUUCAGAACAAUGGUCUCAUUUUGUUUGAUUGAUUUAGUUGACAUGUUUGGCUUUUUCAUAAGGUAUAAAAAGAUUUGUUUUGGAGUGUUAAAGAUCUCGUAUGAAUGCUGGAUAUGGAAAGAGUUGGUGAGCUUAAGAGGCAUAGAGACGAGAUGAUGGGUCACUUUGGUGGUUAUCUGAAUCAUUUUCAAGAGUUUGAGCCUGUGGUAAGGCCGCCAACGAUGGAAUCAAACUAUCCUUUGCUGGAGAUUGAAGAGGUUGUGGCUGCUGGUGAUGAUGAAGCUGGUUCUAGCUCGUUCCGUGGGGUUAGUCAUCCUCCAGAGAAGCCAAGCAUAGCUGAGGAGCCUGCAACAUCUCUGUCUCCGUUCUCUACGGCUCGUGCAAAAUCUCUACAGAGCCAGAGACAAGGAGUUCCAAAGAGUUUUUGUAGACACAGCCGGAAAUUCGUGCAGCUACGUACCUAGUCUAGCUCAUCCUCAUGGAACCUCCAAGCAAGACACAACCCGCAUACGAUAUAGGAAAAAUAGAUUUAACUAGGUGCAUGGUGUUUUGCUCUUCUUAUGUUUUUUUUUUUUUUUGAACUUCUCACUUUUUUUUAAUUUCAACCCCCUUCAUACUUUUUUUAAGAUAAAAAUGUUAUAAGAAUUUAAUAAAUAAAUUUGAAAUUUAAUACAAUAAUGUUUAAAUUUUUUUUUUUUUAAGAAUCCUUAAAUAAGAAACUUACAAUGGACCACACAAAUAUAUCCGUCACUUAACUAAUUCUUUUUAACCCACUUUUCCAACUAAAAAUUAUUAAAAAAGAUUAAGAACCCUCUACGUGGAAUAAAAAUGUUCUAACAGUCACUAAAUAAAAGCAGGGGUACAUUUGCAGUAAAUUUGAAAUAUGUGGAUUUAAAAGAAAAAAGAAGGAGCGAACUACGACUUUUGUUUCUUUUCUUUUAAUAACGAAAGAUUCGACAGUCAAUCUCAAUCGCAUAAAGUUAAAUCAAACCAAACCUCACAUAAACACACCUUUCAUCUCUCCGCUCGCCGUCGAUCAUCUGAGAUCUCUCCACUCACCAAAGAUGCAUUCGAGCCAUCUCCUUCUCGAGGAGCCGAUCAGGAUGGCUUCUAUCCUCGAGCCAUCCAAAUCUGUAAACGAUCCACUGAUUUUCUUAGUUUUGAUUUCGCUCGUAAGAGUAUCUCUAAUCUCUCGUUUGAUGUAUCUUCCUCAGAGCUUCUUUCCGGCGCUAACUAAGAUCGUCGGGACUCUCGGUCCCAAAUCCAGAUCCGUUGAGACUCUCUCCGGCUGUCUCAAAUCCGGCAUGUCAGUGGCUCGAUUCGAUUUCUCCUGGGGAGACGCUGAGUACCACCAAGAGACGCUUGAUAAUCUCAAAAUUGCUGUCAAGAGCACUAAGAAGCUUUGUGCUGUAUGUUUCUCUCUCUCUCUUAUGCUGAAUCAUUUGAUUUUGAUCUUUGCAUAUGCUUUUAGUUGAGAGGUGUUUCUUGUUUGUUUGGUUUGAUUAGGUUAUGCUUGAUACAGUGGGACCUGAGCUUCAAGUGAUCAACAAGUCUGAGAAAGCUAUCACUCUUAAAGCUGAUGGACUUGUUACUUUGACUCCUAACCAAGACCAAGAAGCCUCUUCUGAAGUCCUUCCCAUUAACUUCGAUGGCCUUGCCAAGGUUCCUUCUUUGUGAAAUGUGAUGAUAUUAAUAUAUCUAAUCAAUGAUUUAGUGUUUGAUGGGAGUUACUUGCGUGUUGGUUUUUAGGCAGUGAAGAAAGGAGACACUAUCUUUGUUGGGCAAUACCUGUUCACUGGUAGUGAAACAACUUCAGUUUGGCUCGAGGUAUAAUAAUAAAAAUUAUGAAGCUUAGAAAUGUGAGGUUCGGUGGUUUAUCUAUGUUGAAGUUUCUAGACUAACCUACCAAACGGAACCUGCAGGUUGAUGAAGUUAAAGGAGAUGAUGUCAUUUGCCUUUCAAGGAAUGCUGCUACUCUCGCUGGUUCUAUGUUCACCUUGCACGCCUCUCAAGUUCACAUCGAUAUGCCAACUCUCACUGAGAAAGAUAAAGAGGUCCAUACUUGUUUCUAAUCUAGUGAUUGCUUUUGUUCCUUUUUCCACAGGCUUUUAGUUCGAGUGUUUUGAUCUGGUUGUCAUCUAGGUUAUAAGCACAUGGGGAGUUCAAAACAAAAUCGAUUUUCUCUCGUUGUCCUAUUGUCGCCAUGCAGAGGAUGUUCGCCAGGUCUCUAGUCUGUACUUUUACUUUACCCUUCAGUUACUUCUUUUCUUUAAACAAUAAGAACCAAUUGUUGUUUCAUAACACAGACCCGUGAGAUGCUUAAAAAGUUGGGUGACCUCUCUCAAACACAAAUAUUUGCCAAGAUUGAGAACGUUGAGGUAAGUAUUGACUUUUUUUUUUGCUUUAUACUAUGUUUCUGUAACUGCAAUCCUGCUGAUGAUGUUUUAUUUAAUUUAGGGACUAAACCACUUUGAUGAGAUUCUACAAGAAGCUGAUGGAAUUAUUCUUUCUCGUGGGAACUUGGGUAUUGAUCUACCCCCGGAGAAGGUAUCUUGGUUUGCUCAUUCAAAUUGCUUUUUUUUCUUUCUAUUUACACUCUUUAGUAAUUUAACUUGGUGGGGUUCUUGUUGCAGGUGUUUUUGUUUCAAAAGGCGGCUCUUUACAAGUGCAACAUGGCAGGAAAGCCAGCCGUUCUUACCCGUGUUGUUGAUAGUAUGACUGACAACUUGCGACCAACUCGUGCAGAGGCAACCGAUGUUGCUAAUGCUGUUUUAGAUGGUAUGUUUACCUUCUGAAUACGCUUCUUUUUUGAUGCUUCUAACGUUUUAUAGCAAGAGGUAAUAGUUUUUUUUUUUUUCCAAUUUACUCGUCCUGCAGGAAGUGAUGCAAUCCUUCUCGGUGCUGAGACCCUUCGCGGGUUGUACCCUGUCGAGACCAUAUCAACUGUCGGAAGGAUCUGUGCUGAGGUAAGCUUUAUGACAUUUCGUUGCUUUGUGUCUUCAUCCGUUUUGCUCUUACAUAGUUUUUUUUUUAACAUUUCAUAGGCAGAGAAGGUUUUCAAUCAAGAUUUGUACUUCAAGAAGACUGUCAAGUAUGUUGGAGAGCCGAUGUCUCACCUGGAAUCCAUUGCUUCCUCAGCUGUAAGUUUGCCUUGUGUUGCGGAUGUGUUGGAAAGACAUACAAAAAUAUCAGAUCUCUGGUUUUGAGACCAUCACAGUUCCUAAUCUAGCUUAAUUAACACUUGAUCAGGUAAGGGCAGCAAUCAAGGUUAAGGCAUCAGUUAUUAUAUGCUUUACCUCUUCUGGAAGAGCAGCCAGGUUCAUAUUAUUCUUUUUCUUACGUUAUUUUUCUGUUUAUUUUAUUUAUAGUUGUCUAAUGAACUGUUAUUUCUUUGAUUUCCGUUCAGGUUGAUUGCCAAAUACAGGCCAACAAUGCCGGUAAUUUCUGUAGUCAUUCCCCGGGUUAAGACGAAUCAGCUGAAAUGGAGCUUUAGUGGAGCCUUUGAGGUAUGUUUCCCUCUUGAUCUCUCAAGUUUAACAACCACAGCGGUGCCAUUCUCUGAAAAUGUUGCUGGUUUUCAAAGAGGCACGAUACAUAGCUAUUGCUUGUGAGUUUUAUCUUACUUACAUCUCGUCAUCAAUCUUGGACACUGUACAAGAAAAGAGACUCCCCUAAUGUGUAACGUGUUGUAUCAAUGGUUGACAGUGAUUGUUUUACAUUGUAAUAUUAGAAUGCUAGGGAGGUUUCUUUCAUACAAAUGUUAUGCAAGUGAUAGUUUUAAGUUUAGUAACCCGUGUGACUCUUUAUCAGGCUAGGCAGUCACUUAUUGUCAGGGGCCUCUUCCCCAUGCUUGCUGACCCUCGUCACCCUGUAAGUCUUGUUUUAUCUUCUUUUCUUUUGCAUGUUAUCUCUUCCUUUCUAUUGGAUAAACAAACGAUCUCAAAUGUGUUUCACUUAUAUUACUCUUUAAGACCAAGAUAGUCGCUAUGAAUUGUGCAUAAAUUUUGAGAGUUUGAUGUUCUAAUUGAACCAAGUAGCCAAUAUCAGAGGCUCAAACAAGUCUUUUAGGAGAGUUUUAGUUCGAACUUUUUUGGUUCAGAUUUUAACAUAUUAUGUAAAAAUGUUGAUGUUGAAGGCGGAAUCAACAAGUGCGACGAACGAGUCAGUCCUGAAGGUUGCGUUAGACCACGGGAAGCAAGCAGGAGUGAUCAAGUCGCACGACAGAGUAGUGGUGUGUCAGAAAGUUGGUGAUGCAUCUGUGGUCAAGAUCAUCGAGCUUGAGGAUUGAUAAUAUGGGAGGAAAACAAUUGCUACAAUCUUUUUACUUCGAUCCAGUGCUCUGCAGUGAGUAUUCAGGAGAUUUGAUGUCUCUGAUGUUUCCCAUUUUUCUUGGCUAUUACAUUUGGCUGGCUUCAGAUUUAAACUACGGUGAAAAAAGUAUACAAUGUCUAGCAAUUAUUCAAUAAGCUUGUAAUCCCUAUGUUUUUCUAGGUUACAAAAAUAUUACGACUCAUUAAUUUCACGUUAAAGAAUUGAAGACCUAAAUCUCGUCUGGGUCGUUUUGGGCGGUCCAAAAGAUUUGAAUUAUUGGUUUUUAACCAUAAUUAGAGUAACUGCGGUAGAAAUUAAAUCUUUUCACAGAUUUUAGAAAUUAAAUUUCGGUGAUUAACCAAAAACCAAUAAUAAUCCAAAGGUUUUUUUUCUUGCUUUGUGUCUUCAUCCGUUUUGCUCUUACAUAGUUUUUUUUUUAACAUUUCAUAGGCAGAGAAGGUUUUCAAUCAAGAUUUGUACUUCAAGAAGACUGUCAAGUAUGUUGGAGAGCCGAUGUCUCACCUGGAAUCCAUUGCUUCCUCAGCUGUAAGUUUGCCUUGUGUUGCGGAUGUGUUGGAAAGACAUACAAAAAUAUCAGAUCUCUGGUUUUGAGACCAUCACAGUUCCUAAUCUAGCUUAAUUAACACUUGAUCAGGUAAGGGCAGCAAUCAAGGUUAAGGCAUCAGUUAUUAUAUGCUUUACCUCUUCUGGAAGAGCAGCCAGGUUCAUAUUAUUCUUUUUCUUACGUUAUUUUUCUGUUUAUUUUAUUUAUAGUUGUCUAAUGAACUGUUAUUUCUUUGAUUUCCGUUCAGGUUGAUUGCCAAAUACAGGCCAACAAUGCCGGUAAUUUCUGUAGUCAUUCCCCGGGUUAAGACGAAUCAGCUGAAAUGGAGCUUUAGUGGAGCCUUUGAGGUAUGUUUCCCUCUUGAUCUCUCAAGUUUAACAACCACAGCGGUGCCAUUCUCUGAAAAUGUUGCUGGUUUUCAAAGAGGCACGAUACAUAGCUAUUGCUUGUGAGUUUUAUCUUACUUACAUCUCGUCAUCAAUCUUGGACACUGUACAAGAAAAGAGACUCCCCUAAUGUGUAACGUGUUGUAUCAAUGGUUGACAGUGAUUGUUUUACAUUGUAAUAUUAGAAUGCUAGGGAGGUUUCUUUCAUACAAAUGUUAUGCAAGUGAUAGUUUUAAGUUUAGUAACCCGUGUGACUCUUUAUCAGGCUAGGCAGUCACUUAUUGUCAGGGGCCUCUUCCCCAUGCUUGCUGACCCUCGUCACCCUGUAAGUCUUGUUUUAUCUUCUUUUCUUUUGCAUGUUAUCUCUUCCUUUCUAUUGGAUAAACAAACGAUCUCAAAUGUGUUUCACUUAUAUUACUCUUUAAGACCAAGAUAGUCGCUAUGAAUUGUGCAUAAAUUUUGAGAGUUUGAUGUUCUAAUUGAACCAAGUAGCCAAUAUCAGAGGCUCAAACAAGUCUUUUAGGAGAGUUUUAGUUCGAACUUUUUUGGUUCAGAUUUUAACAUAUUAUGUAAAAAUGUUGAUGUUGAAGGCGGAAUCAACAAGUGCGACGAACGAGUCAGUCCUGAAGGUUGCGUUAGACCACGGGAAGCAAGCAGGAGUGAUAAAGUCGCACGACAGAGUAGUGGUGUGUCAGAAAGUUGGUGAUGCAUCUGUGGUCAAGAUCAUCGAGCUUGAGGAUUGAUAAUAUGGGAGGAAAACAAUUGCUACAAUCUUUUUACUUCGAUCCAGUGCUCUGCAGUGAGUAUUCAGGAGAUUUGAUGUCUCUGAUGUUUCCCAUUUUUCUUGGCUAUUACAUUUGGCUGGCUUCAGAUUUAAACUACGGUGAAAAAAGUAUACAAUGUCUAGCAAUUAUUCAAUAAGCUUGUAAUCCCUAUGUUUUUCUAGGUUACAAAAAUAUUACGACUCAUUAAUUUCACGUUAAAGAAUUGAAGACCUAAAUCUCGUCUGGGUCGUUUUGGGUGGGCCAAAAGAUUUGAAUUAUUGGUUUUUAACCAUAAUUAGAGUAACUGCGGUAGAAAUUAAAUCUUUUCACAGAUUUUAGAAAUUAAAUUUCGGUGAUUAACCAAAAACCAAUAAUAAUCCAAAGGUUUUUUUUCUAUUACCAUGGAAAUAUAAGAUCUUUGCUUCAUAAUCUUGCACACCCAACUACGCCACUAACACUAGUGAAGUUGUUCUUUCCAUUAAGUUGUAAUUUAUCUUUGAUCCUAUACGUAAUUACUGUUUUUCAAAACCCCUCUUACUUCAACGGAAACAAGACCAUUCAACACGUAUGGUAGCAUGCCACUGCCAUGCAUAUAAACUUCCAAACAAGUAUACAUUAUACUAUUGUCUUGCAUCAAUUAUUUCGAGUUCUUAAUUAAUCUAUAUGGUCGCUUUCGGUUGAUAUUAAUUGGCUUUGCAUGCUCAACAUCGGGGGACCAACAUUUUGUGGUAGGCUGGACAUUUAGUCGGGAUUUUUUCUUUCUUGUCUAGAAAAAGAUAGUCAUUCACGCUCCAUCAUGAGUUCUAAUUCAUGCUUUUUCAUUGACUUGUCUUUGAUUCUGUUUCUCGAACUCUCCUAUCAGAUGAUCGUGUCGGAGCGAUAACGAUGCUUCCAAACUUUACAGCAACUCGUUGUAUAUUCUUAUCAAAUCAAACGGUCUCAGUCUUUAGUCUUUACAUUUAUGAUGAUCUCGAUCUCAAUAUUAACCACGUGGAGUAAAUUGAUUCACAAACCAGAAAAAGGACCCUACCUGAAGACAUUAAUUAAUUGAAACUACAUUCAUGUGUACAUGUAAACAACCAAGAGAAUACUAUCACAAACAUUAGAAGUUAAGUGAAAAUGUCCUACAAAUACUACUCCAACAUAGAAGAUUGGACGUUGAAUGAUAACAUGGAUACUAGUUAUAUCCUAGCUAGCAUGUCAAAUAUUUGUUUAUAAAAUCUGGAACAUUUAAUCGUCUUCUUUGGUUUAAAUUAUUGAUCAACAUUUUAAAAAAUGUUAUUCCCUCCGUUUCAAUAUAUGAUGUUAUACAUUAGUACAGAAAGAUUAAGAAAUUUACUUUUCUCUAAAAAAUGGUUUAAAAAAUAUAAUUUAAAAAUCAUCCAACCAAUUACAGAAAUGACUACAACAUCUAAUUGGUUACACAGUUUUCAAUAAAAUUAAAAAUAAUAUAAAAAUAUCAAAACAUCAUCUAUUUUGAAACAACAAAAGUCUUCUAAAACAUCAUCUAUUAUGAAACGAAAGGAGUAUUAUUUUAAUCGUAGAUAACCUGAAACGAAAGAAAUAUUAUUUUAAUCGUAGAUAACUUGUGGUCAUAAAAAAGGAAAAUGGUCAAAUGACGAGCAUGAAUAACAAGUAGCAGUGUGCAAUUAAUCGAGAGGGAACAUACUAGAACAACUGGAAGUCAAAUCGUGCAGCUCAUGUCUUGUAUCAAAGGCUAAUGCAUUCCACUUGAUCCAUGCAUUCUUUUGAUAGACCAUUAAAAUUAAUGGUAAGAACCUUGUAGAAAGAGUUUAGUAAUUUUCGCCUAUAGAUAUUUUUUUAGUUCAUUUUUAAAUCAUCUCAAAACAUACAAGUAGUUGAAGAAAAAAUUUGAACAAAGAAAAAGGCUUAAACUCAUACUCAAAAAUCAAGCUUUCGACUUCAACUCAAGAAGCCUUUUAAGGAACUUCAUCUGCUUUGCCAGACAGAGGUAAUCCAGUAAUCUUUACUGUAAAUUUAGUAUAUGAUUAAUUCAAUAGUUCAAAAGUUUUUCUUUUUUUUGUUAAAAAAAAGUUCACAAGUUUGAAGUCUUAAAGAAGUUACGGUUUCACCCAUUGACACCGAACCUAACCGUACAAACUUGCUAACCACUUUAUUACGUGCGAGUAAAUUCUGAAACAAUAACACUGCUCGAAGUGCUUUGAAAUGUAACUAUAAGUUGGUAGUGAUGUUCAUACCUAUAAAUUCAAAUUUCAAUUAAUUGAAUAGCUAAUCAAUUUAAAGAAGCUGGCAACUGCAAAAUUGGCUCUAAGAUUUGUGGAACUUAAAACAAUUCUAAUGAUAAGUUAUUAUACAUAUAUUAUUUAAUUAUUUAAAAAUUACAUAUUAAUCAUUUAUAAUUUUGAGAACCAGUAUAAACAAAACAUUAACAAAAGCUCAUAAGAAGCCGUAAAAGAUGUGAGGUUAAAAAUUCUCGUAUAUAUCUAGUACGAAAAGUUCUCCUUUUGCAAACUCGUUGAAAAUGCUCACUAGAUUUGAUGAGAAUAUUUUAUUCAGCUUUUUGGAAGAAUAUUAAUGUUGGAGUGACAUGAUAAUAAUUUACAUUCUUGCUUUGCUUUGCUUUACACCAAAUCAAACGGACUUUUCACAAUCGUUCGGCGCCGCCACGUGGCGAAAAACACCUUUCGUUGAUCUUAGCUUGCCCACGUCACCUUUUUCCGCUCUUUAUUUAAUUUUAUUAACUAGUCAUUAAUAUCUUUCCCUCACACUUUCUCCGUUUCUGCUCCAAAAUAUUUUCCGAGAAAAUUCACAGAGAGAGAGAGAAACGGCAAAUAUACUUUCACCAAAUCAAAGUAUUCUCGUGUAUACGCGUAUAGCCGAUUGCAUUUUCUCGUGAUAUAUAUAUAUAUACACCUUUACGAAGAUUGUGUUAGUUAGGUCAACUAUUAGGCAUGGGCUCGUCCUUGUCGAAUCUCAACGACGGGGAGACGAAUGAUUCCUCCAUGGGGCCUAGCCUCGGCGAUAUACCGGAAAGCUGCAUCGCCGCCGUGUUCAUGUACCUGACUCCCCCGGAGAUUUGCAACCUCGCCGGUCUUAACCGUUCGUUUCGCGGCGCGGCUUCGUCGGAUUUCGUCUGGGAGAAGAAGCUCCCGCCGAAUUACCAGGAUCUGCUCGAUUUGUUGCCGCCGGAGAGGGUUCUUGGUCUCUCGAAGAAGGAUAUCUUCGCUGUGCUCUCUCGUCCUAUCCCCUUCGACGGUGAUAACAAGGUAUUGGUUCGGAUUUUGAAAUUUUGAAAUUGGAAUUGGGGAUUAGGGUUUUCAAUGUGAUGAUGUGAAUUGACAGGAGCUGUGGAUUGAUAGAGUUACGGGACGGGUUUGUAUGGCGAUUUCUGCGAGGGGAAUGGCUAUUACUGGGAUUGAAGACCGGAGAUAUUGGAAUUGGAUUCCGACCAAUGAGUCCAGGUAUCACACCAAGUUCAUAGCUUUACUUGGUUUGUGAUAAAUCUCAUUUGACCUGAAUGUGAUUAGUUGUUUGAUUAGCUCGAAAAUGUAUCAGUUUGUUUUAUGUUUGUGGUUGUGGGACAAAGAAUGUAACAAUCUUUUUUUUUUUUGAAUCUUGCGUUGAACAGGUUCCAUGUUGUAGCCUACUUACAGCAGAUUUGGUGGUUUGAAGUCGAUGGGACAGUGACAUUCCAUCUCCCACCGGGUAUCUACUCUCUAUCAUUCAGAAUCCAUCUAGGCGGAUUCGCAAAGAAGUCGGGGAGACGUGUGUGCAACUACGAACACACUCACGGCUGGGAUUUGAAGCCUGUUAGGUUUUCGCUUUCGACUUCUGAUGGUCAAGAGGCAUCAUGUGAGUAUUACUUGGAUGAUGUAAAGAGAGAAGAAUCAACCGGGCACCACAAGCGCGGUUUCUGGAUCGAUUAUAAGGUUGGGGAGUUCGUAGUGACUGGAUCAGAACCAUCUACUGAGAUCAAAUGGUCCAUGAAACAGAUUGACUGCACCCACUCGAAAGGCGGGCUAUGUGUUGAUUCAGUCUUCAUUAACCCAAUUGGUGAUUUGAAAGAUUACAGAACGAAAUCUUUUUGUGAAAUAGAUUGAAGAAAGAAGAUUCUUUUGAAGGUAAUUUUCAUUUUAUUGUUGUGCAUUUCAUGGAGUUGAGUUUUGUUUUUUUUUACUUCAUACUCGUUUUUGCUACAUAGUUUAGGCGAGAGGACUCUCUUUGUGCAUUUUCACAUGUUUAUAAGUUUGGAUGACUAUGAUGUAUCCAACCAAAGUUAAUCUACAAUACGUUCUGUGUAUGACCAGUUCUAAUUAUGUUUGUCUUGUGCUUUUCUUUUUUUAAUCAUAUCCAAUGACAGAUGGUAUAGGAUAUGAUCGAAUCAUUUUCAAGCUGUAUACCCUAAAUAUCAUAAACAAGUAUCCAAAAAAAAAGGUUAAGGUAGGUCCAAAAAUACUAUAAAAAGAAUAGACAAAACAGAACAAGGACAGAGAAGCCAGAGUGUAAUUCGGCUGAAUUGGGAAUGGCCAAAAACGCAUCGACCAUCAUCUGUCCUAGCCGGACCUGAGAAGACGUGGUCAGAUGCAAGCCGUCCGGUUCAAGAGGUAGGCCCUUUGCGUCAACACAAUGCACGUUCUCAAGACCCGUCUCCAGUUGUGCUUUCCUUACCGCGUCAAGAUAUGGUCCUGCGCCUGUAGCAAGAGCCACCUUUUGUUGUUUAUCGUCCAUACCAGCAAAGAGACACAAAAGAUAUUAGAAGAAUGUAGAGUAGUAUCAAUCAUGUAUAUUCUAGUUUUAUUUGGAAAAUACCAAAAAGUCGAAUUGAAACAUUGCAGCUGGACUGGUACAAUACAAUUGCUACAGCCUGGAUUAGUACGAUGAAUAAUACAAAAACCAAAGAUAGCUAAAAAGAAAUGUUUAAUAGAAUAGUGGCAUGCACUCAAUAAAUUAAACCCCUAUUUCAACAAAAUUUGUGAUUAAAAAGAAACAUUGAAGCCACCAUUUGUUUUCCCAACUAAUUAAGUUUUUUUUUAUCACAAUGAUUUCUCAAUAUUAUCCUUCAUCAACAAAAGUGUUAUGACAAAAAGUGAUUUUAAGUUCGACUUUCCACAACAUUGUAGACUUUUGUGAAGUCUUAUAACCAUUAUGCAAUGUUCUGAUGAUUGCAUUUUCAAUGAAAAUUCUCUAAUUAUAUUUGAACAUAAUAAUCUAAUAAAAUAUUAAAAGAGAGAAAAAGUGUGAGAAUUUUUUUUUUCUCAAAUGACAGAUUUUUGAGAAUGAAAAAUUUCAUUAGAUACCAUGAAAUUUUUUUUUGGUAAAUUAAUAUAAUUAUAUAAAAAUAAUAUAUUAUACUUUUUUACUUAAACUUGAGAACUCUCCUAUAAGGUUGCUUCUUUACUUGCUCAUGUAGACUAAGUGCAAACUUGCUCAUGUAUGACUCAAAAGUCAUGGACUUGAUACCUUACAUUUAAAUAGAGUAUCUCUACUUAAAAAAAAAAACACUUUAAUGCAAUGUACCUGGAUAAUAGGAAGAUUUGGAUGUUGUAAAUCAUUUCGUAGAUCACUACAAAACUGGACUAGUCUGUUUUUAUAUACUGAAGCAUCCACCAUAUCCACCGUAUCCGACUCACCCUGAUACCACAAAACGGCCUCGUACGAGCCACCUCCACUAGCCACCAUCGCAGCUUUAGCUCUCCUCACCGUUUCCUCGUACAAGAACUCACCCUUUUGCCAUUGACUUAGUUUAGUCCCACCAAUAGAGCACGGAACCAAACCAACAUAACCAAAACGGUUAACCACCCGGUUAGCAAAUGGCAUCCCCGGUCCAACACCAUUAGUCUUGUUAACGUCUAUAUCAGCGUGGAGUGGCUCGUUAGCUUCCUCCCACUCGAGUUUGGCUGUGAGACGGAGGAUCGAAGGGUUUGAUCUACAUUCCCGUGGAAUAACGCCGUCCCACACGGUGAUGUUCUUGGCGGUGUCGUUAUAAACGCCGCCCCGACCCGCCAUGUUGCUUUGACCGGCUAAUAUGAAAAUGCUGAUGUUUCUUGGGAUGGUUUGAGAUUGGAUUUGCAAUGAAGAUAGACCAAACAUCAUGAUGAAGAGGAAGAAGAUCAUCUUGUUCAUUGUUUUUUUUUUGGGAAAUGGAGGUCGAGAUCGAGAUCCGAAUAAGAGUGGGAGUAAGAUGCAAGAGAGAAUAAUAAUGUUGUUUUCUUCUUAUUGUUUUUUUUUUUUUGAGAAAGUGUUUUCUUCUUAUUGUUUUGUGUCUUUCUUCUUGUUUAAUCAAAACUCUUCUUUUACACUCUUUUUUUCCUUUUACACACAAAGAAGAAUCAUUUGUUUGAUACCUUUUCAUGCACAAGUUGAAUUUUUAAAAUGAAAUUGGUUUUGUACUCGAUACCUACACCUAUAAAGAUGACUUAAAACUUUGAUUAAUUAAUAGCGUAGCAUAACGGUAAAAUCGUGACAUAUAAUAUACUAUUCAUAAGCGAAUCAUGCGAUCUCAAUAAAAUCAAGAAUCAUUCCAAUGUCAAACCUUAAACUGAGAUUUUCAUUAUAAAAAUAAAAAUAUGUAUUUUGGACGUCAAAUGUUUUUUUAGCAUGAACAUGAAAAAAAAAAAUCCUCAAAACAAACUAUCUUAACCACAACUAAACCUAAUCAAACCCAAAACUAACCAAUACGAACAAAAAACGAGUGGCAACUAUGAUUAUAACAGAGAGACAAAAAUGUAAGUUUUCCUUAAGUAUACGACUAAAAACAUUAAAAUGACAUGUAUCAAUUUGAUGGUUGAUUUGAAACCUUUAAAAACCAUAUGGAAGAUAAAAGUCAAAAUAAUUUAACCGUAGAAACAAUACUGUUUACUUUUUUCAAGAAUGUGUUCGAUGGAAAAAAUAAGGUUUUUAUGUCAUAAUUUGUUUAAUGUUCACUAGAGAACAUUAUAUUAACCUAAAAUGUAAGAAGUGUGUAUUCUUUCCUUAAAUAAAAGCUACAGAAUUACCUAAUAUGAUUUACAUAUAUAUGACAAUUAAUGAUUAUGAAUAAUAAAGAUUUGAUAACAAUUUUUGCAUCCUUCUUCAUUUUUGUUUAAUUUUAUAUUAUUAAAAAAAUAAACAAUCACAUUAACCAUAUAAUAAAAAAAUUAGAUUUUUUCUUAUAUGUUAUAUUUUGAAUUUUUUAAAAUGGCUUUAAAUUACAAAAAUGAGGAAACCUUAUAUGUUAUAUAUAUUUUUUUAAAACGACUUUAAAAUACAAAAUUCAGGACACCUUAUAUGUUAUAUUUUUCUUAUAUGUUAGAUUUUUUCUUAUAUGUUAUAUUUUGAAUUUUUUAAAACGACUUUAAAUUACAAAAAUGUAAGUUUUCCUUAAGUAUACGACUAAAAACAUUAAAAUGACAUGUAUCAAUUCGAUGGUUGAUUUGAAAGCUUUCAAAACCAUAUGGAAGAUAAAAGUCAAAAUAAUUCAACUGUGAAAACAAUACUGUUCACUUUUUUCAAUAAUGUGUUCGAUGGAAAAAAUAAGGUUGUUAUGUCAUAAUUUGUUUAAUGUUCAAUCCGAUAAACCCACGAUGUAUUAAUUAUAGUUUUGUUCCAUUAUUUAUAAUAAAAAUUGAUCUGAUCCAUUGGAAAGAAAUUAUAUAAUAACGACAAAAAAUAUUUUAUAUAUAUAAAUAAAAUGAUCAAAUAUAUAAAAGAAACUAUCGAUAAUAUAUACAAAUAAAUUCACCCUGCGCAAGACGCAUGUCUUAUCCUAGUAUCGUAUUAUUACUGAUAUCAUUCCGGUGAAUAACGUUUGCAAUGAGCUUAUUCUCGGUUAAUACAGAGCUCACAUGAAAAUGGAGAAAGCAUUAGUCAAGCUUAGUAUUUAAAAAGGAAACAGAGGAUGAUGAAUCUUUGAAGCAGCCCUCGAACUACAGUUUCGAAAGAAGGAUCUCAACAUAUGGAUGAUUAAAGAAUUUUCGAUAUUCCAAUAUAUAUGAUGUAUCAUAUUUUUAGGUAAAUUUUAAUUUCAACAAAAUUGUGUAAUUAGUCAUAUCUUAUAGUUUAUUUUUUAACUGUUUGAACACUUUUUAAUUUAUAGUUUUAGUGAUAAAUUUCCAUAAACAUGUGUGUUUUAGCUUAAAAAGUAACUUCCAUAAACAUGUGUGUUUUAGCUUAAAACAUCUUAACGGACGAAUAUAUGAAAAUACGUUAGACUCACAAUUACAGCGAUGAAGACAUUGAGGAGAUAAGAGAGCAGUGAAACAAAAUUAUCUAGUCUGCGUUUAUAAGAAUUGCAAAAAGUAAAGAGACAAACAUCAAUAACGAAAGGUUUAGGUUCUGCGGAGUAUUCUGAAAUCAACAUUAACUAAAGAAAGAAAGAAAAAGUAAAAUGGUUUUGGGCUCCUCAACGUUUGCCACCACCACCUCCCAACUUAGGACCUCCCUUGGCAGCAGCCUCGGGGAUCUUAGCCUGAAUCUUCUGUUGCUUAGAAGCAAAUUCAGCCUUCUUUGCCUUCUUCUCAUUCUUUGUUUUCUUUAUUCUUUCCUUGAUAUCACUGUAAGGAUCAUCACAAUUCAUUUGAGUCAAUCAAAUAUGUUCUGAGUUCUAAAGAGUAUGUUUUAACAGAAAGAAUCAAAACUAACCGAAGGGCAGCUUCUCUUGCUGCAUCACGAACUUCAGGCUUCUCAGCUCUCUUCUUCUGAAUCACUUCCAAGGUAGCCCCAACAAUAGACCUUGAGUAUGGUUUCUUGGUAGCACGUCUCCUCUUCUUCACAGCCUCUUGAGCUGCAUCCUACAAAAGAUUAAUAAUUUUCAAACAGGGUCACUGAUAGACUAUAGAAGUAUUUUAUUGAAUAACUGUCCAACCACCCUCUCUUGAUCUCUUAAGUCUAGAGAAUCAAGCCAGAUUACAAUUCAAAGAAUAGAAAGCAAGCCUAAGCCAAAACCUCCCUAGCUCUCAAUUAUUCCUAAGGGCCCUCUUAUAUACACGAGACCCAGAUACAAUUCAAUAAACUCUCACUCAACUUGUAACUAAAUCUGCCAGCUCAUCAUUCUUGUUCUCCACGCUAGUCUCUUUUCUCCUCUCACCCUCCUUUUCCUUCCUCGUAUACACUCGCAGUGGCAUAUCAAUACCCCCAUCCGCGAGACUCAGCUUGUCCUCAAGUAAGAAAGUAGGAAACUUAUGCUUGAACUCACCCACACGAAGCCAAGAAGAUUCAUGAUCUGGAAGAUGCUUCCACUUGAUCAAAACUUCCAAGAACCCUUCACUAUCAUAACGCUUGUCCUGUAUCGUUUCCGGUUCAAUCAACAACUCAUCAGAUACCACCAAUGUCAGAGGUAACUGUGUGAUAAUAGCACCACUCCCCACUACUAGCUUCAACUGUGAAACAUGAAAUACUGGGUGGAUCUUCGAGCUCUCCGGUAACGCCAACUUAUAAGCCACUUACCCACUCUAGAUAACACCUCAAAUGGCCCAUAGAAUCGAGCAGCCAACUUCUGAAAGAGUCUCCUGCUUACCGAGUGCUGUCGAUAAGGUCUCAGCUUCAAGUAUACUCUAUCACCCACCUCAAACUCCAAAUCGCGGCGGUGCUUAUCCGCAUUAUUCUUCAUAAUGGCCUGAGCUCGAAGCGGAUUGUCCUUGAUUGAAUUCAACAUUACCUCUCUCUCUUUUAGAAUCACAUCCACUUCAAAGUUUUGAGUUGUGCCUUCUUCAUAAGCCAAUAAGGUCGGAUGAUCAUGACCGUAAACAAGCUUAAAAGGAGUACAAUACAGAGCUGUGUGAUAAGUUGUAUUGUACCACAACUCCGCCCACAAUAGAAAUUGAGACCACGUCUUCAGAUACGUAGACGCAAAGCAGCGUAGGUAUGUUUCAAGGCACCUAUUCAGAACCUCAGUCUGACCAUCUGACUGAGGAUGAAAAGCUGUACCGAAGUGCAGUUUAGUGCCUGAAACACGGAAGCAUUCCCUCCAAAACUUGCUCAAAAAAAUCUUGUCCCUAUCAGAGAUAAUGAACUUAGGAAACCCAUGUAAUUUGACCACUUCUUUCACAAACUUCUGAGCUACUUCCACUGCUGUAAACGGGUGUUUCAACAUCAAGAAAUGACUAUACUUGCUCAGUCGGUCCACCACUACCAAAAUCACAUUCACUCCAUUGGAAACCGGCAAUCUUUCUACAAAAUCCAUAGCAAUAUCCACCCAAAUGCGAACCAGUAGCUCUAUAGGUUGUAAUAAUCCAGCAUGAGACAAGGUAGAGUACUUUUGGGUUUGGCAAACCGCACACGUAGCCACGUACUCCUGAACUUGCUUUCUCAUUUUUGACCAAUAAACGUUGCCUUCACUCGUUGUAAAGUUCUCAACACUCCGGCAUUACCUCCCAUAACCGAAUCAUAACACUCCUGAAGAAUCAACGGUAUCUGCUUCGAAUUAUGAGGAAUGACCACUUUCUGUCUAUAAAACAGUCGCCCAUGCACCAAUGAAAAUCCAUUUUUAACUGACUCACCCAAAUUCAAUUUAGCAAUUACUCCCUGAAUCUCCCCAUCAUCAUCUAUUUCUCGAAAUAGCUCUUGCAUUUGUAAAGUCACCGGUACAGUCAGAGCCAGCAGAGACAAUCCAUUAGCAACACUGGAAUGAUCAAUCCUUGACAACCCAUCUGCCACUUUGUUUUCACUACCCUGCUUAUACUCAAUGUCAAACUCAUAACCCAAAAUCCUUGUCAACCAACGUUGAUAAUCCAAAGUGAUCUCACGUUGCUCCAAUAAGUAUUUCAAGCUUUGCUGAUCUGUUCUGACUACAAAUCUCCUUCCCAACAAAUAGUGCCACCAUUUCUGAAUUGCCAACACAAUUGCCAUCAAUUAUCUCUCAUAAAUUGGCUUCAUUUGUUCUCGUGGAGUCAAUCCAUGGCUAAAGAAUGCUAUCGGAUGAUUAUUAUGCAUCAACACAGCCCCGAGACCAAAUCCAGAAGCAUCGGAUUCCACAAUGAACAGUUGAUUGAAGUCAGGAAGCGCUAGCACCGGAGCAGUCACCAUAGUUUUUUUGAGUGUACUAAACGCUUUCAAUGCAUCAUGUGACCAACCAAACUGAUCUUUCUUCAAUAGCUCUGUCAGUGGUCUAGCAAUGCAUCCAUAAUGUUGAACAAAGCGUCUGUAGUACCCUGUUAGACCCAAAAAUCCCCGUAACUCCUUGACUGAUUUAGGUUCAGGUCAUUUUUGAACAGCUUCAAUCUCCUGGUUAUCAGUAGCUACGUCUUCACUGCUAAUAACAUGGCCCAAAUAUUCCACCUUAGACUGAGCGAAUGAACACUUCUUCAAGUUUGCUAACAACGUUUGUUCAACAAACACCUCUAACACCAUGCUCACAUGCUUCACAUGUUCCUCAAUACUACGAGUGUAGAUCAAGAUAUCGUCAAAAAAUACCAACACAAAUUUCCUCAGAAACUUGUGAAAUACCUCAUUCAUCAACGCCUGAAACGUUGCCGGAGCAUUCGUGAGACCAAACGGCAUCACCAGAAAUUCAAAGUGGCCAUCGUGUGUCAUGAACGCAGUCUUCUCAAUAUCACUCUGCUGCAUACGGAUCUGAUGGUACCCUGAUCUUAAAUCCAACUUCGUAGACUGUGGCUCCAUGCAACUCAUUCAAUAGCUGAUCUAUCAUAGGGAUUGGAUAUUUAUCCUGAAUAGUAGCUCUAUUAAGGGCUCUAUAGUCCACACAAAAUUGAUGGAAAUUGUCUUUCUUUUUCACCAACAAGACUGGGCUGGAGUAAAGACUAUGACUCGGUCGUAUUAACCCCUCCGCGAGCAUUUCAUUAACCAACUUCUCCAUAAUCUCUUUGUGUGCGUGAGGAUAACGAUAAGGUCUCACACUUAUCAGUUUAGCCUUGUCUUGUAACACAAUAGCAUGCUCUUGUCCUCGUAGUGGAGGUAAUUUUUUUGGUUUUUGAAACACCGCUUCAUAUUUCUUAAGCUUCCCUACUAUCACGCUCGGAACUACUUCUGCUAAAGAAGCUUCCCCUUCCAUUUUUCCCAACUCUGACGACUUCAUUUUCUUUGAAUACUUAACUCCAGAAGUUAACGUUUUCAACGAGACAUUGUAGUCAGAAAGAGUGGGAUCUCCUGUGAGUGUCACUGGCAUCCCUUGAUAAUAGAAUGACCACUCAUUUUUCUCCCAGUCCACUUCACACUUCCCUAACGUGCGUAGCCAACUAGCCAUUGCACACCCAAUAUAAUAUAUGCAUUCCCCAACUCAAGCACAAUGAAGUCAGGUGUAAACGUCAUAGAAGGUAACAUAACCUUCACGUUUCUGCACACUCCCGAGCCUUGCACCGAUAUUCCUGUUCCCAACACCACAUUCAAAUUUGGAUUAACUGUUGCCAACAGCUUGUUCCUCAUCACCGUAGAUGGAGAAAUGAAACUAUGAGUGGCCCCACUAUCUAGCAUCACCACCACCCUAUUCUUGUUAAUUUUUCCCGUGACUUUUGUUGUUGUUGGAGAAGAAAUCCUCACAAAGGAGUUAAAGGAUAAAGACAUCAAUGUAGACUCAAACGCUUCCUCUUCUUCUUCCAUCUCCACCAGUGACUGGUCUACAAUCUUCAUCUCAAUACCAUUUACCACUGUUAAAACUUUUAAAUGUCGGUUCGGGCACCAAUGUUGUCUUGACCAUUUAUCAUCACAAGUAAAACAUAGCCCCAAACGUUUUUUCUCUGCAAUUUGAUUGUCUGUAAGGUGUAAUUGAGGUUUCUGCUCACGGCUCUUAUCUGUACUUCCACCAUUUUUAAUCUGUUGUUGCUUCAAUUGCCCUUCCGAAUUAUUUGAUGGUGGUGCCGCUGAUUUUGUAAAGAACUGUCUCCCACUUGACUGGCCCUCUUGGUUUCUUUCCCUACAAACCAUCUUAUACAAAGCACUAUCCUCCAUCUGAUAUGAUGUGGCAAUCAUCUCCGGAAGAUCCACUGGUUUACUCAUAUUCACCACCUCACGCAUUGCUGGUUUCAGACCAUUCAUGAAGAUCCCUUCUCGUUGUGUAUCAGUCAAUCCGGUGACUUGAGUAGAAAAAUCUUCAAACAUGUUAAUGUAUUGAGCAAUGGUUCCCGUUUGUUUUACUGCGAAAAACGGUUGACUCGGAUCUCGGAACUUCUCCUUGCUAAACCUUACAAUCAACCUCUCCUUAAAAUCUCUCCAACAAGUGAAAUUGCUUCUGUGAGUUUCACGGUUAAACCAGCUCAGAACAUCACCAGCAAGACUCACUGAAACUAUCUCCAACUUUCUUCUCUCAUCAUAACCUCCAAUACGAAAAUACCUCUCAGCCAACGCAAACCAUCC
rnacentral:lncRNA from 1 species